GAGGAGGAGGAGGAGGAGAUGUAGAAGAAGGUGGAGAAGUAGAAGGAGGAGGAGGAGGAGGAGGAGACAUAAACGAAUAUAUCUACGAUGGUGUGGUUAUCAAUGAUGGUGAUAGUGAGAAUGGUGAUGAUAGUGACAGUGCGGAUGACAGUGAUAAUGAUGGUGAUGAGAAAGAUGCAACACAGUCCCAGAAUAGUACUAGUAUUGAUAGUGACUUCAAUAGUAAUAGUAGUGAUAGUAGUAGUAGUAGUAGUAGUAGUAGUAGUAGUAGUAGUGAUGGUGAAAAUAGUAACGAUGAAGAUAGUAGUGGUAGUAAUGGUGGUAGUAUUAGUAGUAAUAGUGAUAGUAGUAGUAGUAGUAGUAGUAGUAGUAGUGGUAGUAGUACUGGUGGUAGCGAUGGUACUAACGAUGAUAAUAUUGACAAUAUUGAUAGCAGCAGCAGCAGCAGCAGCAGCAGUAGUAGUAGUAGUAGUAGUAGUAGUAGUAGUAGUAGUAGUAGUAGUAGUAGUAGUAGUAGUACACCAACCACCAUUACUACCAUCCCUACCAGCACCACUACUACCAUCCCUACCACCACCACCACUACCAUCCCUACCACCACCAUUAGUACCACACCAACCACAACCACCACCACCACCACCACCACCACCACCCCUCCCACCACCAGCCCCAGUAUCUCACAGGAGGGUAUAAUAAUAGUCCCCAUAACCUUCCCCCCUACCUACGUGCCCCCCGCCCCCCCUCCAUCCGGGAUCAGUGUGAUGGAGUCUGGUCACCUUUUCGCAUCGGGUCAAGUUCCCACCGGGGUCACGGUCACCACUAGUCCCGGGGGUCGUCACGUGAUACAGAUCCCACCGGGACUGAAGUGGCGUGACGUGAAGAGCUCGCUGACCAAUCCUGAGGCACGGAGGAAGUGGCGGGAGAUCUUCAACGUGGUACUGUCCCUGCGGCGCGAGGAGGAGAAGAAAAUCCUGAACACCCCAGGCAACCAAAUCAGCAUCACGCCAGUCCGUUCAGGCGACGUCAGCGUUCCUAUGGGCAUCACACUCCCACAAAUAAAGAAAACAAUCAAAACCGCGGACUUGAAACGACUGAAAAAGCUGAAAAAACGCCUUCGAAAGCUCCUCCGCCAAGCUAGACGGAACCAACGAAAGCUGCUUCUUCGCGUCCCGAGUAGCGUAGGCAGUCCUCCGCCAGGGAUCAGUGUCAUCUCAUCCUCCGGGGGCGAGCAGGUGAUACAAAUACCCAAUACUGUCAAGUGGAGCGAAGUUAGAGGGUCCUUCCCAAGUGCAGCGGAGAGAGAAGUGUGGCGCCAAAUCUUUCAGUCCCGUGACUCAAACACAAAGAUGAUUCGUGAGAGCGUGGAGAAGGUGUUGGCUGGAAACUGGCUGGUGACGGACGAGAUUGAGAACCGUGUAGCACAGAUUCGGACGAAGAAUAAGGUGAAGGAUAAGAAUCUGUCCAAGAAUAGCGGUGGUAAGAUGAAAAACAAGGAGAAAAAUAAGAAUUUGAUGGCUGUGAGACGGAGAGUGAAAAAUCGCUUGAAAAAGCAAUAUUUGCUGAAGACGGCCAGGAGGAAAAUAAGAAAUCAGAUGAAGAAUUUUAAAAGGAGGAUGAAAAAUAAAGCGAAAAAGAAGAAUACCAAGGAAAAAAAUAAAGAUGGAGUGCAAAAUAAAAACUUAUCAAAAAACGGGAAUAAGGAAAUGAAAAACAAAUUGAAAAAUAAUAGUUUGUCCAAGAAUGGAAACCGUUUGAAAGGAAACAAGAAAAGUAAGAAAAGCAAGAAGAAAAGAAAAAUGUGGAAGACAAAAGGAGGAAAAAACAAGUCCAAGAAAAACAGUAAAAAGAAAGAGCGUAAGGGGAAUAAGAAAAGGAACAAAAGAAAAGAAAAGAAACAGAAAAAGCGAAAAAUACAAAAAAUUAUAAAUAAAGCAGUAACCCGUAAAAAGAAGAUAAAUAAGGAAAUGAAGAAACUGAAGAAGAAAGUAAAGAAAACGAAACAGAAAAUCAGGAAAGCAAAUAAGACAAGAAAGAAGGGGAAGAACGAAAAGAACAAAAAGGAAACGAGGGAUUUACAAAAACCGAUGACGAAUUUGAGCGAAAAAGAAAAUGGGAAUAACAGACUUUCUAAUACCAAGGAAAAUGUACGUAAAGAAAACGGAAAUGUCAGAAAAGGAGAAAAACAGAAAAUUAAGAAAAAAAGGAAGAACAAAAAUAAAAAUAAACCAAUGAAGAACAAGAAGAACGAGAAUAUAAAUAAAAAAGAGAGUCUAAAAAAGAGAAUAAAAUUAAAUAAGAAUAAGAGGAAACAAAUGAAAAAGAAGAUAAAGAAGAAAAUGAAGAAGAAAAAAAAGAAAGAAAGGAAAGGAGCCAAAAUUAAAAACAAACAAGUAAACAAACAAAAGCAAAAAACUCCCAUCUUCUUUCCGAUAGCCGGAAUGGGUAACCAAAACAAAACGAAAAAGAAUAACAAGGAAAGGGAAAUAAACAUUGUGGAAGGGAAGAAAAAAGAAAUAUAUGAAAAUUCAAAAUUAACGAAAAAACAAGAACUGAAAAAGACAAGAAAAGAGAAAGAAAAGAAAAAGAAGAAAAUGAACAAGAAAAAUAAGAAAAAUAAGAAUAGGAAGAAGAAUAGAAAGAACAAGAAGAAAAAUGACAAUAAAGAGGACAGGAAGAAGAAGAAUAAGAAUAAGAAGGAAAAGAAGAAGAAUAAGAAACAGCAGAAUAAGAAGAGAAAUGAAAGAAAGUAUAAUUAUUGGUACUGAAGAGGGAAAAAAGAAGAAAAUAGUUAAGGUUCUGUAGUAAAUAUUUUUUGCUUUUCCAACUUAUUUCACUACUACUACUACUACUACUACUAUUAUUCACUAUUACAAGCACUACUACCACCGUCCCUUCUCUUUACUACUACUACUACUACUACUACUACUACUACUACUAUUGGUUCGUUUGUUGUGUUUCGAAGUACAAAUGAGAAAGAAUAAGUUGUUAGUGUGUAGUUAUUGGUUCCGUAGUGUUGUGUUAUUUGUUUGUGUUUGUAGUGAUUUAAUUGUAGUGUUUUUGUAUGUCGUCUGUGUCUUUGUUGUGGUGUUGUGUUCUUUGUGGUUGUAGUGAUUAAAAGCAGAAAGUUG